rnacentral:misc_RNA from 1 species
GAUGAAGAACGUAGCGAAAUGCGAUAAGUAAUGUGAAUUGCAGAAUUCAGUGAAUCAUCGAAUCUUUGAACGCACAUUGCGCCCGCCAGUAUUCUGGCGGGCAUGCCUGUUCGAGCGUCAUUACAACCCUCAGGCCCCCGGGCCUGGCGUUGGGGAUCGGCGGAGCCCCCCGUCGGCACACGCCGUCCCCCAAAUACAGUGGCGGUCCCGCCGCAGCUUCCAUCGCGUAGUAGCUAACACCUCGCGACUGGAGAGCGGCGCGGCCACGCCGUAAAACACCCAACUCUUCUGAAGUUGACCUCGAAUCAGGUAGGAAUACCCGCUGAACUUAAGCAUAUCAAUAAGCGGAGGA